rnacentral:rRNA from 1 species
GACGAACGCUGGCGGCGUGCUUAACACAUGCAAGUCGAGCGGUAAGGCCCUUUCGGGGGUACGACGAGCGGCGAACGGUGAGUAACACGUGGGUGACCUUGCCCUCAGCUCUGGGAUAAGCCUGGGAAACCGGGUCUAAUACCCGGAUAUGACUCCAUGACGCAUGUUGUGGGGUGGAAAGCCUUGUGCGGCUGAGGAUGGGCCCGCGGCCUAUCAGCUUGUUGGUGGGGUGANGGCCUUACCAAGGCGACGACGGGUAGCCGGCCCUGAGAGGGCGACCGGCCACACUGGGACUGAGACACGGCCCAGACUCCUACGGGAGGCAGCAGUGGGGAAUCUUGCGCAAUGGGCGAAGCCUGACGCAGCGACGCCGCGU